AUUGAACGCUGGCGGCAUGCCUAACACAUGCAAGUCGAGCGAGCGGCGGACGGGUGAGUAAUGUCUGGGAAACUGCCUGAUGGAGGGGGAUAACUUCUGGAAACGGUAGCUAAUACCGCAUACCAUCAGAUCUGCCCAGAUGGUCUUAGCUAGUAGGUGGGGUAACGGCUCACCUAGGCGACGCUCCCUAGCUGGUCUGAGAGGAUGACCAGCCACACUGGAACUGAGAAACGGUCCAGACUCCUACGGGAGGCAGCAGUGGGGAAUAUUGCACAAUGGGCGAAAGCCUGAUGCAGCAAUGCCGCGUGAGUGAAGAAGGCCUUCGGGUUGUAAAGCACGUUCAGCGGGGAGGCGGUACCUGAAGAGGAAGCACCGGCUAACUCCGUGCCAGCAGCCGCGGUAAUAC
rnacentral:rRNA from 1 species